ensembl:lncRNA
GGAACAUGCAGGCCACUGGAUAGGAGGAGUGAGUGGGAACAUGCAGGCCACUGGAUAGGAGGAGUGAGUGGGAACAUGCAGGCCACUGGAUAGCAGGAGUGAGUGGGAACAUGCAGGCCACUGGAUAGGAGGAGUGAGUGGGAACAUGCAGGCCACUGGAUAGGAGGAGUGAGUGGGAACAUGCAGGCCACUGGAUAGGAGGAGUGAGUGGGAACAUGCAGGCCAUCUGAUAGGAGGAGUGAUGGGAACGUGCAGGCCAUCUGAUAGGAGGAGUGAGUGGGAACAUGCAGGCCACUGGAUAGGAGGAGUGAGUGGGAAC